UACGUAGGGGGCUAGCGUUGUUCGGAAUUACUGGGCGUAAAGCGCGCGCAGGCGGUUUUCCAAGUCAGUGGUGAAAGCCCGGAGCUCAACUCCGGAACUGCCAUUGAAACUGUAAGACUUGAGGACGAGAGAGGUGAGUGGAAUUCCCAGUGUAGAGGUGAAAUUCGUAGAUAUUGGGAAGAACACCAGUGGCGAAGGCGGCUCACUGGCUCGUAUCUGACGCUCAGGCGCGACAGCGUGGGGAUCAAACAGG
rnacentral:rRNA from 1 species